rnacentral:rRNA from 1 species
GACGAACCGUGCGAACGUUGUUCGGAAUCACUGGGCUUAAAAGGGCGCGUAGGCGGUCCGAUAAGUCCUGUGUGAAAUCCCUCGGCUCAACUGAGGAACUGCAUUCGAGACUGCAUUGCUAGAGUAUGGGAGAGGGAAGUGGAAUUUCCGGUGUAGCGGUGAAAUGCGUAGAUAUCGGAAGGAACAUCAGUGGCGAAAGCGACUUCCUGGACCAAUACUGACGCUCAUGUGCGAAAGCGUGGGGAGCAAACAGG